rnacentral:misc_RNA from 1 species
AACGCAAGUUGCGCCCGAAGCCAUUAGGCCGAGGGCACGCCUGCCUGGGUGUCACACAAUGUUACCCUCACGCAAAAAUGGCUACCGUUAGCCAGUGCGUGGUGUGUACGCUGGCCUCCCGCGAGCGGCGUCCCGCGGUUGGCUGAAAAUCGAGUCCGCGGUCGGGUGCGCCGUGAUAAAAUGGUGGACGGGCAAUGCCCGAGACCAAUCACGCGCGAUCCCGUCCGGCGUGACCCCUGGACCCCUGCGGCGUCUUUGGAUGCCGUCGUCGAGACCUCAGGUCAGGCGGGACUACCCGCUGAGUUUAA